AUUGAACGCUGGCGGCAUGCCUUACACAUGCAAGUCGAACGGUAACAGGUCUUCGGAUGCUGACGAGUGGCGAACGGGUGAGUAAUACAUCGGAACGUGCCUAGUAGUGGGGGAUAACUACUCGAAAGAGUGGCUAAUACCGCAUGAGAUCUACGGAUGAAAGCAGGGGAUCGCAAGACCUUGUGCUACUAGAGCGGCCGAUGGCAGAUUAGGUAGUUGGUGGGAUAAAAGCUUACCAAGCCGACGAUCUGUAGCUGGUCUGAGAGGACGAUCAGCCCAACUGGGACGGGGACACGGCCCAGACGCCUACGGGAGGCGGCAGUGGGGAAUUUUGGACAAUGGGCGAAAGCCUGAUCCAGCAAUGCCGCGUGCAGGAUGAAGGCCUUCGGGUUGUAAACUGCUUUUGUACGGAACGAAAAGCCCCGGGUUAAUACCCUGGGGUCAUGACGGUACCGUAAGAAUAAGCACCGGCUAACUACGUGCCAGCCGCCGCCGUAA
rnacentral:rRNA from 1 species